UGUGAAGGAAAGGUGAAAAGGACCCCGGGAGGGGAGUGAAAGAGAACCUGAAACCUUGUGCCUACAAGCACAUAGAGCACAUCAACGUGUGAUAUGGUACUUUUUGUAGAACGGUCCGGCGAGCGAUUGUAUGUUGCGAGCUUAAGGUCUUAAGGACUGGAGGCGUAGCGAGAGCGAGUCUGAACAGGGCGUUCAGUAGCAUGCAAUGGGCCCGAAACCGGGUGACCUACCCAUGAUCAGGCUGAAGUGAAAGUAAAAUUUCAUGGAGGGCCGAACCGACCUCCGUUGAAAAGGCGGCGGAUGAAUUGUGGGUAGCGGAGAAAUUCCAAUCGAACUCGGAGAUAGCUGGUUCUCCCCGAAAUAGCUUUAGGGCUAGCCUCAUAUUAGAUACCCGGAGGUAAAGCACUGAAUGGCCUAGCGCCCGAGAGGGUAGCGAAGCCUAUCAAACUAAGAAUGCCGGAGUAUUGAUGUAUGGGAGUCAGACAGUGUGAGAUAAAUCUCAUUGUCAAAAGGGAAACAGCCCAGAUCUACAGCUAAGGUCCCAAAUUGUAUCUAAGUGGAAAACGAUGUGGAAAUACGCAGACAACCAGGAUGUUGGCUCAGAAGCAGCCACUCAUUUAAAGAGUGCGUAAUAGCUCACUGGUCGAGCGUCUCUGCGCGGAAAAUUUAACGGGGCUAAGAUACAAACCGAAGCUUAGGCUGCAUCGUAAGAUGCGGGGUAGGGGAGCGUUGUGUAAGCGGAGAAACAGUAGCGUAAGCGGCUGUGGAGUUUACAGAAGUGAGAAUGCCGGAAUGAGUAGCGCGAAUGUGGUGAGAAUCCACAUGGCCGGAAACCUCAGGUUUUUGGAGGAAGGUUCGUCCGCUCCAAGUUAGGCGGGAGCUAAGGUGAGGCCGAAAGGCGUAGCCGAUGCACAGACGGUAGAGAUUCCGUCACCACCAAAAGAGUUAAGCACAGGGACACAUAUGAAGUCUCAGAGCCGGGUGUUGGUUCCGGUAGAGAUCGAGGGAAAUUAGUACCGAAGUCUGAGAUGGAAGAUGGCGAGAAAAGCUGUGUGUAUUUCUGAGGUGCCCGUACCGCAAACCGACACAGGUAGGUAGGAAGAAGAUUCUAAGGCCAACGGGAGAAGGGUUGUUAAGGAACUCGGCAAAUUGACCCCGUAACUUCGGGAGAAGGGGUGCUCCAGAGAUGGAGCCGCAGAGAAUCGGCCCAAGCAACUGUUUACCAAAAACACAGGUUUGUGCUAAAUCGAAAGAUGACGUAUACGAGCUGACGCCUGCCCGGUGCUGGAAGGUUAAGAGGAGAUGUGCAAGCAUUGAAUCGAAGCCCCAGUGAACGGCGGCCGUAACUAUAACGGUCCUAAGGUAGCGAAAUUCCUUGUCAGGUAAG
rnacentral:rRNA from 1 species